rnacentral:misc_RNA from 1 species
GAUGAAGAACGGAGCGAAAUGCGAUACUUGGUGUGAAUUGCAGAAUCCCGUGAACCAUCGAGUCUUUGAACGCAAGUUGCGCCCGAAGCCAUUAGGCCGAGGGCACGCCUGCCUGGGCGUCACACGUCGUUGCCCCCCCAUCUACUCCUUCGGGAUUGCGGGGGGCGGAUGAUGGCCUCCCGUGCGCCUCGUCGCGCGGUUGGCCUAAAUGCCAAGUCCUCGGCGACGCACGCCACGACAAUCGGUGGUUGCGAAACCUCGGUUGCCAGUCGUGUGCGGUCGUCGCGCAUCGAGGGCUCGAAAAAAUUGCCGGGCUUCGGCUCGACUUUCAACGCGACCCCAGGUCAGGCGGGGUUACCCGCUGAAUUUAAGCAUAUCAAUAAGCGGAGGA